rnacentral:rRNA from 1 species
UACGGAGGGUGCGAGCGUUAAUCGGAAUUACUGGGCGUAAAGCGCGCGUAGGCGGCUUCGUCAGUCAGAUGUGAAAGCCCCGGGCUCAACCUGGGAACUGCAUUUGAUACUGCGGAGCUAGAGUAUGGUAGAGGAUAGUGAAUUCCAGGUGUAAGCGGUGAAAUGCGUAGAUAUCUGGAGGAACAUCAGUGGCGAAGGCGACUGUCUGGACCAAUACUGACGCUGAGGUGCGAAA